UGAGAAUACAAAAUAAUUAAACAUAAACACUUAAAAUUAAAUUAAAUACAAAAUUAAAUUCCAAACCUAGAAAAUCUGAGAAGACUAAAAUCCCAUUCUUCUCCCCCUUCUCUUCUGCGAUUCAGGGGGUCAACUUCUUUUCCCUCAUCGUCUUAUGAGAACCAGAGGUGCAAACCAGAGAACACCCCCCAUCGUCAUCGUCUUCUUUCUCUUCACCAACAACAGCCCUAUUUCACAUACCAUAUCUCACUAUCAUGUAUAAAUCACGCUAAAAACUGAUAUCAUCCACCAAAAAAUCUCUUAAGGGUAUGUAAUGCUUCUAUGCAUUACGCUUAAAAUAAAGAAAACUCAACUAAUACCAACACAGUAGAGUUGUCACUCUUUCUCAAAUGAGAAUUAAGAGAUGCUUCACAAAAUCUAACUUUAUACGUAUGAAUGAUAUUUCCAAUAUCAUAUCACCAUCCUCUUUUUCCUCUCUUCUCAACAGCUUGCAAAUCAGGGGCCAUCUUCUUUAUUUCUUUCAUUGUGCCCAAAUCAUAGGAAGACCCUAAAUCAUUCAUUAAGGGUUCUAAGUCAAUCUAAGAUGGAGAAGAAGAUACUGUUAAAAAAAAAAAAAGAUGGAGAAGAAGAUAAGGAUGGGAUAGUGUAAUUUUAGUGCCAAAAUAUAAUAUGGUGUGAUGAGGUUUAGUGCCAAAAUAUUUUUUAAAUUUGUGCAGAAGUUUUUUUUAGGCUCAUUCCAAUUUUUUGAAUUUGUUUUAGGAUUGUGUUCACUGUUCAUACUCAUUUUUUUGGGUUUUUGUUAACUGUUCAAGAGAGAGUGUAAAAGAAAAAGAGAGAGAACAAAAAAGGAAAACAUGUUGGUAAGAUGAGGAUUUGAUGAUUUUGAAUUCUUGUAUUAUGAUAUGGUUAUUAAUGGAAAAAUGAGAUGGAGAUCGAAGGAGAUGAAGUCGAGAGGAGAGAGAGAUUGUAGAAGAGAAAAGGGAAAACAUAUGUUUAUUUUUAAUUAUUUAUUUUUUUUUUAAUUUUUAAAUAUAUAUAUUUUUUUUAAUUUUUAAAUAUAUAUAUUUUUUAAAAUUUUUAAAAAUUGUUAGAAAAAAUAAAAAUUAAAUUACAUGGACCUAUCAGGAACUGCCACGCAGUAACUGAUUUGCCAAUUAACGGAGAGGUACCUACGGAAGUUCCAAGAGUGUAACGGAAGGUAUUUUUACCGCCAAAAAUACGACUUAGUCUUUGAAUGUGAAGGUCAAAAGAAUGGAGGUCACGAUUGCUGCAAGAGUUUUAAAAAUGGUAAUUGUCCUCGUAAUGAGAGUCAAUGCAAAUUAGAUUGUAGUGAUUGUCGUUAUGGAGAUGGAGGAAAAUGCAAAAUAUAAGGCGGUGAUCAUGUCUGUCAUUGUUAUUGUUAAUCCAAUAAUAAUUUACAUUAUUAUUAAAUAUUUUCAAUAAAAUGAUUAUUAUAUUUUAUUAUA